CUCCGUCACUUCCCACACUGUGGAAUGAAAACAUACACCAUCAUGCGAUAGACAACAAUCCCAUGACUGCAGACACGGGGAAUGAAUCUCCAACCUUUGGAACUGAAGGACACUCUUUCAUUGGAGUAUACGGUGGCCACGAUCUAGAAUUUGCUUUUGAAGCUUUAACAGCGUUAUGUGAGCAUACAGUGUUUUGAGCAGCGAGCAGCGGAGUCAGAAUGAAUUAAGGUAAUUUUGUGCUAAGGCUGUGUUCUCCGCUAUGGAAGAAGCAAUACAAUCUCUGCCUGAAGGGAGAGUUAAUAUUUUUUACAUUCCGGCAGAGUGAUGCAAUAAUGAGCUGGUGGAUGAGCAGAGUGAAAGUCAUGGAGUCAAAAGAAGACAGUUACAGGCUCAUGCUUCCAAUGGCUGGUGUAGAAAGGAAAUAGGAGAUAACCAACACCACUCUUCUGUACGUGUAUAUUAUGUAAAAGAUGCGAUAUCUGACCCAGAAAUCACAUCUUUGUAUGGCCUGUUGAUUAAACCAUUUGGCAUAAUAUUUUA